rnacentral:miRNA from 1 species
AGGCGAGCCUAAACGAUUCCGC